AUACGUAGGUGGCAAGCGUUGUCCGGAAUUAUUGGGCGUAAAGCGCGCGCAGGCGGUCCUUUAAGUCUGAUGUGAAAUCUUGCGGCUCAACCGCAAGCGGUCAUUGGAAACUGGGGGACUUGAGUGCAGAAGAGGAAAGCGGAAUUCCACGUGUAGCGGUGAAAUGCGUAGAGAUGUGGAGGAACACCAGUGGCGAAGGCGGCUUUCUGGUCUGUAACUGACGCUGAGGCGCGAAAGCGUGGGGAGCAAACAGGAUUAGAUACCCUGGUAGUCCACGCCGUAAACGAUGAGUGCUAAGUGUUGGAGGGUUUCCGCCCUUCAGUGCUGCAGCUAACGCAUUAAGCACUCCGCCUGGGGAGUACGGUCGCAAGACUGAA
rnacentral:rRNA from 1 species